rnacentral:rRNA from 1 species
AGUGAACGCUGGCGGUAGGCCUAACACAUGCAAGUCGAACGGCAGCACAGUAAGAGCUUGCUCUUACGGGUGGCGAGUGGCGGACGGGUGAGGAAUACAUCGGAAUCUACUUUUUCGUGGGGGAUAACGUAGGGAAACUUACGCUAAUACCGCAUACGACCUACGGGUGAAAGCAGGGGAUCUUCGGACCUUGCGCGAUUGAAUGAGCCGAUGUCGGAUUAGCUAGUUGGCGGGGUAAAGGCCCACCAAGGCGACGAUCCGUAGCUGGUCUGAGAGGAUGAUCAGCCACACUGGAGCUGGGACACGGUCCAGACUCCUACGGGAGGCAGCAGUGUGGAAUAUUGGACAGUGGGCGCAAGCCUGAUCCAGCCAUACCGCGUGGGUGAAGAAGGCCUUCGGGUUGUAAAGCCCUUUUGUUGGGAAAGAAAAGCAGCAGGUUAAUACCCCGCUGUUCUGACGGUACCCAAAGAAUAAGCACCGGCUAACUUCGUG